CCCUUAGAUGUUCUGGGCCGCACGCGCGCUACAAUGGUCUUCGCAAACGGAUGCAUUCUCGAAGGAGAAUGCCAAUCUUGGAAUCUAUGCCUUGGUCGGGACAGUUGCUUGCAAUUUUUCGACUCGAACCAGGAAUUCCUUGUAAUCGUGAUUCAUCACAUCACGAUGAAUACGUCCCUGCCCUUUGUACACACCGCCCGUCGCUCCUACCGAUCGAAGAGUUAGGUGAAUUGUUCUGAUCGAUAAGAUUUGACUAUGGUCAACUCUCGUUGUGAAAUUCUGUGAAUCUGACUGUUUAGAGGAAGGAAAAGUCGUAACA
rnacentral:rRNA from 1 species